UUGGGAAGCUGUGGCAAAAGGAUUGUCCUACAUCCAAGGACAGCCUAGCUAACAUAAUGAGUUCUAGACCAGCAUGAGCAAGACUCUGGAUCCUGUUUGUGGCCCAGAACUGACUUUUGAAGUUGAGUUGUGACGCACACCUACAAUUCCAGGACUUGGGAGGCAGAAGCAAAAGGCUACUUCCAGCACGAUCUGGGCUGCAUAGCAAGACCUUGAACCAACUAACAAAAUAAAAUAAAGUGCAUUUACUGGC